CCCCCUCCAUAUCUCUCAUUGGAGUAAAUUAAAUCAUGCAUCGCUUCAUCUGAAUUAUGAAUUACGUCACUUUAUUCCAAUCGAGAGAGGUUGCAUAUAUAAACGAUAAAACAUCAUCAUCACCCCUUGAUUCUAUACAUACACUGAUCAUACACAUACAUUACAAAUAACAAAAAAAAAAAAAAAACUAUGAAUAUUACCCUGAUGCUUUACCAGAACAAGGAAGGAAUAUUCUCGUUGAAACUGGCCUGUGUUCAUAGCUCAGGCUCUGUUUCUCGGGGCUUAAACCUUGAUGAAACCAGGGAUCGAUCCAUGUUAUACUGAUUUUUGGCAAAGACGACACCCUUUUGCUCCCUUCAAUUCAAGUAAGAGCGCCCAUGAGCUUUAGCACGCUAGCGGCAUAAAACUUCUCGUUUAAAACCUGCAACCCCGUUUUCUCUCAACAACUUGGAAGGAAGGACACGGAUCAUGUUUUUUAUUUUUUUAUUUUAAUCCCAGAAAAAAACCAUUAGAAC
rnacentral:lncRNA from 1 species